UACGGGGGAGCAAGCGUUGUUCGGAUUUACUGGCGUAAAGGGCGCGUAGGCGGCCAGCACAAGUCAGUUGUGAAAUCUCCGGGCUUAACUCGGAAAGGUCAACUGAUACUGUGCGGACUAGAGUGCAGAAGGGGCAACUGGAAUUCUCGGUGUAGCGGAUGAAUGCGUUGAUAUCAUUAAGGACACCGGUGGCGAAGGCGGCUUACUGGGUCUUUUCUGACGCUGAGGCACGAA
rnacentral:rRNA from 1 species